rnacentral:lncRNA from 1 species
GUUGUCUUCCCCAGCAACAGGCUCGAUGUGACAGCAUCGUCCUUUGUAACGAUCAAGACUGGUAAGUCCAUCAGUCCAAACAGUUGUCCAUGUACCAGUAGAAGAUUCGGCAGCUACUGCAGCCCCUGCUUCUUCGGGCGGAACCCCAGGCUGAGGACUUACUCGGAAUGCUGCCAAGAUAUCAGUAUCCUUAGUUUCAUACUCUAGGGUGUAGUAAGUCAAUUUAUAAUCUUUAACACCAGCUUUAAAUCCAACACCUGCUUUAGUUUCUGUUUGUGGUGACAUAAGUCCCUCCCUAUAACUCUUGAAUUAAGAAUUCUCACAAUAACAGGGUCUACUCGAUGUUAAUUAGGCGUAAAUGAAACUUUAGCAAAAAUCUCGUAAAACAAAAAGGAUAUUCAAUUAAUAUAAUAUCAACUCAUUAAAGAAAAUUGAGGGCAUGCUUAGGUUAAUGAAUAUGUUUCAUUCAUAUAUAAUGCGUACACCCUGUGUAUGUUCUAUCCUAUAGGAAUUCCACUAUAGGAAUUCGAUAGGAAUUGAGUUGUUGUUAUGGUAAGNNNNNNNNNNGGGGGGGGGUAGUCCUAUGCAUUGUGCAUGGUUUACUUAAAUAAAACUUAAAAAUAGAGUGAAUAACCAAGAUUUCUCGCCGACACUCUAAUAAAAAAGAAAUCUAUUCAAUGAAUAGGAUAAGAUCCAUUGAGUUCUCUUCGCAUUCCUUUGUGAAAGAGUAGAAUGAGAAAGCUAAUGAAUCUUAAACCCAUCCAAAUGGGAUAAGAGAAUUCUUAUUAGUCUCUUUCUUUAUCUCAAUUGAAGAAGUAGUUGGAAAAUAAAACAGCAAGUACAAAAAUGAGUAAUAAACCCCAGUAUAGACUGGUACGAUUCAGCGGAAGUUGCGGGUUCGAGCCCCGUCAGUCCCGAACUAGGGUUGAAUGAAUGGAGAAAUUGAUAUUUCCUUUUUCCAUGAAAAAAAGGGGCAGGGAGCAAGAUCAAAUACCCACAGGGCACCCUUAUGAGCCUCGUGGAGAAGCAAUCGCUAGUCCAUGGGGCUCAUACUUCAGCGCUGCAGCGCUUGGUACUCGGACCUCGGCUCGAGGCAUUUUCUCUACCCCUUCUUACCCUGAAAAAGCAGGGUCACCUUGUGUCCUUAAACCUAUAACCAUCUUUCGGCUGUGUAUGAAUCACUCACCUAUUCUUCCGAAUUAUAUGUAUCUGCGAGAUUAAUUUUUGGUUUCGAUGUGCAAAAACAAAUGAAAUGAAAAUGAAUUGAUAAAACAUUCCUAAAAAAAUUCUGUCACUUAUACUUUAUGUUAUGAUAUUCUAAUCAGAUUGGAUGGCAAAGAGUAAAGAAGGCAAUGCUUUUUUUUCAUUUUUGAUCUGUAAAUGGAGUUGUUAAUGAAUAUGCUUCAUUCGCUGACUCUAUUCCAUUCCCUGACCUUCUUUCUCCAAUCUUGGAUUAGGGAAGAAGGAGAUAUUCGUGACUACUGGCGAUUUCAUUAUGGGGCAGCUCAUGAUCUUAGGAAUUCUUCUAUAAUUUAAAUGACUCAAUAAAAGCUUUUUUUUAUUCUUUUAGUUACUGAUUAUUAUUUUUGGAUUUCACUCCACCCGUGGUUGGGAACUAGUAAUUCGUUGGGUCUACAACGAUUUUGGAUGGGCUCCUAACGAGCUUAUUUUCACUAUUUUUGUUUGUAGUUUUCCAGUAAUUCUAGAUACAUGUUUGAAAUUUUGGGUCGUGGCAAUUCCACCCAGAAGGUAAUGGGUUACUCCUACAGCGCGUCCUUGUAUAAUGCUCAAGGCUCUAGGCUGAGUAGCAGGAGCAACUUUUAAUUUGUUAUGAGCCCAAACGAUAGAUUCAAUGAGUUCUUGCCAAUAACCACGGCCGCUGGUUUCAUGUUACGCCAAUUUGAAUUUGCUCGGUCUGUUCAAUUGCGGCCUUAUAAUGCAAUCUCAUUAUCUGGUCCAAUUGCUGUUUUUGUAAUCGAUCUUAUUGCAAAACCAAUGUCUUACUUCAUAGAUUCGAGAGAAUAGGAGAACAGUAGCCUGACAAACAGUCGGUUCAGUCCGAUUCAGGUGCCAAUCUGAUAUUAUAGUGCCAGUGUAGAUAGAAAUUCCCUUAUGAUCUAAUUCUGAGCGGUAGUAAAUACCAGGACGUAGCAAUAUUUGAUUGAUCACAAUUCGGUGUCUUCCCCAGCAACAGGCUCGAUGUGAUAGCAUCGUCCUUUGUAACGAUCAAGACCGGUAAUUCCAUCAGUCCAAACAGUUGUCCAUGUACCAGUAGAAGAUUCGGCAGCUACUGCAGCCCCUGCUUCUUCGGGCAGAGGGAAUUUCCGGUGGAGCGGUGAAAUGCAUGGAGAUCGGAAAGAACACCAACGGCGAAGACUUAAAGAUAUUUUGGAGGCUCACAAGGGCCCAUUUACAGGACAAGGCGACCUUCAACAAAAGGGUACCUGUACCCGAAACCGACACAGGAGGGUAGGUAGAGAAUACCUAGGGGCGCGAGACAACUCUCUCUAAGGA